UACGGAGGGGGCAAGCGUUGUUCGGAAUCAUUGGGCGUAAAGGGCGUGUAGGCGGCCGAUCAAGUCGGGUGUGAAAUCCCUCGGCUCAACCGAGGAACUGCACUCGAUACUGGUUGGCUAGAGUUCGGGAUGGGGUGGCGGAAUUCCCAGUGUAGCGGUGAAAUGCGUAGAUAUUGGGAAGAACACCGGUAGCGAAGGCGGCCACCUGGACCGAUACUGACGCUGAGGCGCGAAAGCCAGGGGAGCGAAUGGG
rnacentral:rRNA from 1 species